rnacentral:lncRNA from 1 species
GGAAACGUUUAAGGAACCACCAGCCUGGGUGACGGGUGUAGAUGGAGAAGAGAGAUUGUGGCUGAGCCUAGAAGUGAAGAAAAGGCAAAAUAAAGACAUUAGAGCUAAGUAGAGGUAGAAUUUGCUUUCAAAGAAGAUUUUAUUGCCGCUAAAGGAAACCAUCCAUGGCAAUCAAUCAAAGGAAUAGCGCGAACUGGUUGGAGGGGAAAGCACAAACUGGUAUACAUCUGUUCCUGCUCAGUUCACGCAAUAAAAAAAAGCAGAUUAGGGUUUUUUCAAACCGGGUCACUCUUGACCUGUUUAAUGAAUCCUUUUUGUUGGUUGCUGCAAAAUAGGGUGUUAUUUUGACAUGUUUAUUGAUUGUAUAUCUCAUUCCUAUAUAUAAUGAUGCAAGGGAGGGAAAAAACCACCUUUAGUUUGAAGUUAUGAGCCAUAUUUUUUCUGUGUAGUCUUCUCUAAGAUGGCUGCGUGACCAGAUAAUGUUGUCUGGCUUCCUAGACUUCCAUCAGCAUAAUUUUUGUCAAUCUAACCUGUUACUACUUCCAUCUUGGUUCCCGCAGCAGCUACCAAUUCCUCUGGGCAAAAUGUGUAUGCAAUCAAUGAUACCCUUUCAGCUGAGAGAGUCAGAUAAUUAUGAGACACGUCUCAGACAAUUGGUCAAUAACAGUGUGAUUACUUUAUCACAGACGAGUGAAUUUUCAAAUGCCACUUUUCUGUGAUGUCGUUGAAAUGAAUCAAAUAAUCACUUCACUCCCUGAAUUUCUUACUUGGCUUCUUAUAUUUCUUUAAUCUAAAAUUCAAAUACUAGCAAUAGUAAUGAGAGUAUCCUCGUGGCUUGAUUUUCAGAGGUAGUCUUAAAUCACCGUGGUCAUAUAGGAAAAGGAAGCAUAUUUCACCUCAGCUGUUUACCAUAGAUGGUGGAAUUAAAUUCCUGAAAAGAGUUCACAGUGGAGUGGGUUCACUAAUCUGAUUGUUUAGAUUUUAAAUUCUUUGGUUUGGCUGUUUCUCCUUGAACUUGAUUACGUAUAUAAGUAACUGAUGCGUAGGGUGUUGAUCCUAGUAUUAGAGCUAAAGUUUGGCCUUUCCUACUCGGAGUGUAAGCAUGCUAUCUUUUAUGCUUGAUUUCUAGAUAAUGCUUAUCGAUUAUUUUUCUUACAUAUUUGGGAUCUAGGAAAUUUGGAUCACUUAAUGGCAUGAGAUACAAAAUGGACCUGCUGUUAUGUGAUUUGAAAUAUCUUGCUCCUGGUUUUUUUACCUUGUUGCAGCUUGGUUGUGAAGAACCUUGGUUAUCUCUUGUUUACCUUAGAAAAACUAUAUUAUUUGCUUCAUCUUAUGCAGUAUUUAAAACUUUAUUUUUGUGCGUACUUCAAUCAUCUUUUUCAUUCAGUUUAAUUCUAAUUCUUUAAAUGCAGAAAGGAGUAUGAGAAAUUUCGCAGACAAUGCUGGCAUAUGUUAAAGCACAGCUAUGAAGGGGGAUGGUGGAAGUCUGUUAGGUUCCUUUUGGAACCUAACGAGAACUCACUAAAAAGAUAGAGAUAGAAAGAAAGAAAUGGG